ACUCGCGGAACGGCACUGAGCAUGCUCAGUUGCCGGAGCCCGUUCUGGUCUCAAGUAGGAAGCUAGUGCGCUGUAACCGCAUCUGAUCUGGGCGCUCCGGGAAGGGCGAGACUGGAGCAGAGCCGCUGGGCGCCGGAGCCGAGGCGAGCGCCGCGCGCACCACUGGUUGGAGUUGCUGUGGGUGAGCUGCUGUGGUCUGUAGCCAAGCAUGCUGUGGUCGGAUCUGCCCAGCCGUGGAACAGAAACAUUUGCUGGAUGGAAAAUCCAUAAAAGAAAGCUCCUGUGAAAAGCUGAGGCUGACAAUAAUUUAAGCAAAAUCAGGAUCUUGCUCCAUCACCCAGGCUGGAGUGCGUGGUACAAUCAUGGCUCACUGCAGCCUUGAUCUCCCAGGCUCAACUGAUCUUCCUUCCUCAGCCUCCUGAAUAGCUGGGACCACAGAUCGAUCUCUUUGGGCUGCCUGACCUCCUUGGGUGCUUGCUAUUAAUUAACAGACUUUGUGGGGAAAAAAAGGAGCUUGCCUUCUGAGCUUUGUACCAAAGACCUGGGAAAACUAACCAUCUCAGUCUUUCCUGAGGACUUGGGAACUGCCGAGGCCUCUGCCAAUGUGUUGACUGUCGCU
rnacentral:lncRNA from 10 species